AAGUGAUUCACACUGAACUGCUGCGGGGUGGCUGGAGAGGCAGCCCCAAGGAUGCAUACACUCUCAGCAGCUCAACCUAAUUUUAACCAAUUGUAUCAGUCCUCUGAGCAUCCACUGUACGUUUCAAGAAGAGUUGUUUAUGAGGCACGAUCCCAACUGAUCCUGCGCAAGAACAGAACGAUCAUGACAUCAAAGCGUCCCGAGGCCAACUGUAACUUAUAAAGUACCACAGUCACAUGGGAGUAUCCUUAAGUUGAGCCAGUGAAGCUGUAGGGAGCAUCACACUGCAACUUAAACAUCCGUAUGUGCAGCAAACCCGAACCCCACUGUGAAAUGGGAUACUGAAUGGUAGCACUUAAAUGCUCAUAAACCACAGACGUUAUUUUAUAGGUUACAACAGCAAAGCUUCUGGAAACUUCUCUUUGGCUCGGGGUGCUUUGUAGUGGCUGGCUCUUGGUCAUGUGGUGAGCUCUAUCUGCAUGCCUGGAGGAGCAUCAGGCUCACAGUGGCUGCAUCGCAACCAAAGGAUGUGAAGUUUUGGAGCACCUCCAGGUAUCAUCGAUGAGAUGCCUUCUUUUUACUAAUUGUUGUAUGAACUCCUGUGAUCUUGGAUAACAGCAAAUAAACUAAUUACAGUGCUACUUUGGACCUUAUCCAGACCAUCUGUAUUUUGAAGUGCCACAUCCCCAAAACAAGGAAGCCAUGGAGCUGUUGGAGCAGGUCUAGAGAAGGGCCACAAAGGUGCUCAGAGGGCUGGCGCACCUCCACUAUGAGGAAAGGUUGACAGCUGGAUUGUGCAGCCCAGGGAAGAGAAGCCUCCAGGAAGAUCUCAGUGUGGCCUUCCAAUACCUGAGGAGAGCUUAUAAACAGGAGAGUGACUUUGUACAUGGUCUGAUAGUGAUUGGACGUGGGAGCAUGGCUUAAAACUAAGCGGGGAGAUCUGGGUUAGGUGUUAGGAGGAAAUUCUCUUUUUGUCACUUCUGUGUCUGCCUCCAAGUCCCUUUAUGUGUCACUCUUCUUACAAUGCCAAUAAAAGCUGGAUCCUGAAUCCUUACUGCUAGGCACUACAGUAAACAAUAAGGAUUAUGAUCAUUGCUACCAGUGUUUCUGAUUUAUUCCAUUACAGUAUCUGCUUAUGGCACAUGAGCAUCAUUUUAUAGUAAUGACACAGAUAAAUUUUGGGCCCUUAUUUUUCAUAACCACUCACCAGCUGUAUAUCACCAGUUUUCCUCUCAUUUAGAUACGUGCUGCUUCCUUGGGAAAAGUAAAACAUAUCCCAGUCGUCGAGGUAAUAAAGCUGGUAAAGCAAAUUCUGAAGUGUGUUUUACAAUGGAAUUUGAUUGUGUUAAUUUUUCAUGUGUUAAAAAAGAGAGGAUGUUUGUACACUCUGGGAAAUAUUUGUGGUGCUUUUUGCAUUUUCUGACACCCCAUCACUUGUAGUAAUGCAAAAGAUUCCCUUUUUUCGUGAAGAAAUGGAAACAUCCCAGCACUUACCUGCCAAGUUCACUGUAGAACUGUGUGAUUUAUUGAGGCUUGAAGUUGCAUAGCUGAUGCCUAAAACAAAACUUUGGGCAUUGUGAAUCUGCAUUUUGAAUGUACACCUGCUGCAAGUCCAGUGAGAAUGCCUAAGGGAAGAAAAAGGGAGAAUUAUGUAUUUCCAAUUUGCACUGGGAAAUCCCAGUGGGACAUGGUGCUGUAGGUGAAACAAUUCUCCCCACCUCUCCUUUCUCAGUCAGAAUGCCUGAGCUUACAAACUAAAUGUUCUUAAUUCUAUUUCUUUUGUUUUAUUAGCAAGGAAAUUGAAGAAAUAUUCAGAUAAGUCAAAAAUGGUCCUGCUGCACAAGCACCAGCAAUUACCCAUGUGGUUUUUCAUGACAUUGUUAUUCAGCUGCAGAUCCUGGGAGAUCGCCACAGUUGUUCACGAUCAAACAAAAGGAGUCUAAUGAAAGUAUUUUAAUCUGCUCAUCAGCUAUUCGGAGAGAAAGGGAUGGCUGUGCUAGGUGUCUUCAGAGUCUGGAAAUGAACGCAGCAAUGGGUGAGCAUUCUGAGCAGGGCACACAAGCCGUGUUGCUGAAGGAACAGCAGGUUGUCCUCUGCAGGAUCUUUGAAGAGAGGAUGUGGUCCAGCUCUGAGACACUUCCAGCUGCAGCAAACAUCAAUUAACUGAGUUAUAUUAGGAGCCUUGCAGCCCAUGGACAUGACAGAGUGAAAACCUUCAGCAGUGAAAACCUCCAGCAGAGCCCAGAGAAGCCUUGGCAGUGCACUACUGCUCUGGGGGCAUUUGCAGCUCUUCCAGCUCGUCAUGAGCACCAUGCCUUGGUGGCAUUCACUGUGAAGACCCUCACACAGAUCAGCAUCUCAACUUCUGCUUUCUCCGCUGACCUCCAUCUAAAAGGGCCGGUCCGCUUGAGGAAACUGCAGUCCAAGCACGUGGCCCACAGUAAGCAAGUCAGUGAAGCCUUACGAAGGUCUCUGCAUUCCCAAGAUUGCCGUCAUAGCUGGCGCAUGUUCCUGUUGGCUUCCUGUUGGGAAGUGUGUUAGCUUAAAUCACCAAGGUUGGCUUUAAGUAACUCGUUUAUUCUUUCUUGAUAAUGCUUUGAAAGAGGGAAUUUUGCUGCUUAUGUUGCUCCUGAGGGCUGUUAUUUACAGCAGCCAGCAGUGCCAUGCAGGCGCUGUGCGAAGGACGGGGUGGCUCUUGCAGAGCCAUAAACACGCCAGCUGUCUUGGCUGAGCAGGAUGGGAUUUCCAAAGGAACCAAGGAAAUUAGUCACCUAGCUUUCUACUAGCAGUAAAUGAUUGGUAUCGCUGCUCGCAAAGAUAAUUUUCCCAUAGCUAUAUAAAUCUUGGGCGUGGGGGAGGUAUCACCAUUGCAUGCUGCAAUUCAUGCAAAAGGGUGGUGGAACUCUUCCAGCACAGUGUGCCCUGCAGUUGUGCUCUGACUUGCAUCAUGCUUCACAUUUCCCUUCUAAACUGCAAAUCUCUCAGGACCUCUCUUCCAGGGAUGCACUGUUUGGGACACUUCUCCUACCUGAGAAUUUUAGAUGUACUCUGCCAAGCAGCAGUUCAGGGUGCUGCAGACUGUGGGGACACAGCAGAGGCAGCUCCUCUGCAGCAGUUCUCGGGUUCAUAGCACAACCUGACCCUGUGGGCUGCUGUGUUGUUCUGUAAUGCCUCUCCCUAUGUGCGUCCACAUACAGAGCUCAGCUCAUGGAACAGACUCACUUAGCAAUGCCCAUGUAAGUCAGUUUGACGGGGAACAGCCGCUAUUUGUCACCUCUGUUCUUCUUCUCCCUGAAGAAACAUAAGAUUCUCACCUUCACCAAAUCCUGUCUAUUAAAAUCUAAAGGCGGAUGAUCACAUGAACGAGUUCGGGUCCUACAACUAUAAAAUAAAUGUCUGCUGCUAUAGAGAAGGCAGUUGGUGACCUUUCCCACCCGAUUUCCCUGGUGAUUCACAGGUUUUAUUUUUUGCAAAGUACAAAAGCAUUUUCUCUGGCAAAUGCUUCCUUUGCUGAAGGUGAAAAUGAAUAAAACAAGCCCACAAAAUGCAGAGAGGAGGCUUAGGUCUUUUCACAGUUAUCACUAUUUAUAACAUAAUGCAUCUGAAGUGCAGUGAGCUCUGUGGAGAAAUGUAUGCCUUUCCCCACAUCGGGCUCAGCUCUGAGUUCCCAAGUUGAUUCCCCAAUGCUAUGGCAUCCUGUGCUCCCAGCAGGGAAGGUACCCAUAGCACCGUGCACCAGUGAGCUCUCCUUAAAUGGGAGGUCUAUUUGGAGGGCAUUUGACUCUAUUAAAAAUUUCAUCAGGAAUUGAUAUACUGCAUUUUUCAUUUGAAAAUUUGCAAUCAGGCAGGAAAGUCUGAAUAUUCAUAUGAGGGUAAUAUCUUUUCAGUAUUCAUUAAUCUGAGUCAGUAAUGAACCGCAGGUAAAAUUGAGUGAUAAUUUUUAACAAGUAAUUUAUUUGAUUAUUUUCCUCAUCUUCCGUUUUAUUAAAUAUCCAUGAACGGUUUAAUUGACCUUCCUGAAUUUUUCAUUUAAUAUCCAAAGAUGUGUUGGGGAAUGGCGUGCCAAAAUGCCGGGCUCCUUGACGCUCUCUUCUUAUCCCAGUGUUUACCUCAAAGCUCCAUCACCCAGCUCACGGCAGGCGGAGUAAGACCCUGGAGGAUGGAUCAUCUCUUCAUGGCUAUUCCUGGUAUAUUUUAAGUUUACAAGUUCUCUCUUCAAUCUCUGUUUCUUUUAAGACUCAGUUUCCUGGACUUGUUCAAUCCUUCACCUUGGGGGGAUGAUUUCUAGAUUCUGAUCUUGUCCCCUUUCAAAUCACCCCCUUUGGUCCACAGCUCUACUCACGUGUAGUGCGUAAGGCAGAAUACAUCUUGGCAGUGAGGCCUUAUUAGGACUGAACGUAACAGAAAGACCAUUUUCCCCAUCUUGAUGGGCACUCUUCGAUUUACCCAUCUCAGAGUGACAGCCUUUCAACUGAGCAGCUCUCCCAGCCCGCUCUGCAGCCAGCGCGGUUCCCCAGCCCUUAAUUGUGCAAUUGAUUAUUUCUACCCAAGCAUAGGAUCUUGCACUGUCUCUCAUAACACACUUUUUAAAGUAGAUUAUUUCUGCAAUUUGUCGAGACCUUUCUGAAUUUUAAUUCUGUCCUCUUGUGUGUUUGCAGUCCCUCCCUGCUCAGCGUUAUCAGCAAAUUUAACAAGCGUAUUCCUUCCUCUGUCAUACGAGUCAUUAAUGAAAAAAUUAAUAAUGCUGAGCUCAAGGCAAGUCUCUCUGAAACUGUGCUUGAUUCAUCCUUUCAAAGAGAGCCAUUUUCUGGAAAUGAAUGGUCUCCUAGCAAGCUCUGCCUGCUCUCCUCCAAGCUCCAUGCUAAUGAUGAAGGCGCUGCUGAUCCGCGGCCAUUGCAUGCGGCUGCUCCUUCUGCUGUUACUUGGUGUCAUGUUCUGCAGUUCCCUGAAUGGAUGGUAAGUAAGCUGACAUGCAGAGCAAUGACCACCUCCAUGUCCUUCCAGGCAGUGUUGCUUCUUCCCAUCUCUUUGGAUUCCCACUAUGAUAGUUAAGGUUCUGAUAUGGCUUCAGACAGUUCCUUAAGUAUGUGAAGAUAAAGCUCAUCAGCAUAACCAAUUUGAAGACAUCUAAAUUAGCCAGGCACUCUUGCUUUUCCCUUUUUAGGAGAUUACUAUCUUCCCUCUUUGUUACAGUAUUAUUGUGCCGACCAUCUGCUCUCGGUUGGCCUUUUUCAUGAAGAUAGAAGCAAAGAAAUCUCAUUAAACACUCAGCUUAGUUGGCUAAUGGCUUUCCCACUCCUUUUUUGGACCUGCUUUAUCACUAAUGUAGUUGCAGGAUGAUAUCUGGUUAAUUGCCCCAUGCUUUGUACCCUGACCUGCCCAGAUUCAUUGCCCUCAGCAUUGCAUGGUGGCAAACUUUCUGAAUUAAUUAAUGCUGAGACUGAGGUGAUGGGUUGGAAUUCCUGCAUGGUGAAGAGCACAGGAUGAGUUUGCACUGUCAGGUGGCAGCUGUGGAUUAGGCCCUGAGUGGAGCCCCACGAGAUGGGGCAAUUGGCUGUGGGAGCACCCAAGAAGCCCUCAGGGAAUGGUUGAGAUCCCUGAUUUUUGUUCAAUUUAAUAGCACGAAAUUUGAGCAAAUUGCAUUAACUUUCUUCUUUUUUCUUUUCUUAAGUUUUCCUCUCCUGACUCCCGCUAUUCUUAGUACACUGCCAAGAUUAUUUCUGAGGUCUUUAGAGUUCUCAGUGGAUUUCCCUUUAUUGGUCCCAAUGCUAUGAGUAAUUGCUCUCUGUCCUUGAGCCUUUCCAAACAGCUCCUGCAGCAAGCUUCACCUUUAUGUCUACGUGACCUCAAGGCACAUGAAAAAACCUUUUCAGUGAUAUUGGACAGCUUGUAAACAGAUUUCCAUACAAUUCCAGCCAGAUGUAAACACGCAGGGCUUGAAAAUAAGUAUUGUGAGUUACAGCGAUACAGAUCAAUAGAGACUUGUGGUUUGAAUUCACUCAUGGUGCCGUAAUUUGGGUAAUAAGAAGAGGAAUAUUAUAACGUAAAAUGUCACGGUUGCAACUCCAUUUGUGCUCUCACACCAGAGACUGAGGAAAUGAAGAGCUCUCUGAGUAGCAAAGCUAAAUAAAAGCAAAGCACAGAGGAACCUGGCUGGGCGUGCUGACCUUCCUUUCAGAUUUCAAGCAACUUGAAAUGGAGCUGUAGUUAGAAGUGGCCAUCCACAUUGUUUCUUCCUGCAGAGCAUUAACCCACAACUUCCUGCAGCAAGCUGUCUGUUAUCCACUAGCAGGAGAAAAAACGACCUUUCCCAUUUUCUCCUGGCAUGUCUGAAAUCAGGUGAGCUUGGUCAGGUCUGAAUAUUCUAGCCUGGCUGAAAUACCAGAAUGAAACAGAAUUGCCCACUGUUGGUUAUAUGAUGCAAGGUGGAACGCAGCAGAAAACUCAAAUUUAUCCACAUCCUCAGGAACCAAAAAGCUGGAGCCCCACUGCGGGUGCUUCUCUGGCUUUGGAGUGGCAGCAGUUUGCCUCCACACAGCCCAGUUCUAGGGGAGAGCAGCUCGGGCUGUGCGGUCCCAGCAGGGCUGAGUGGGAGGAACCAGGGCCUGAAGUCACCGCUGCAAACUGCAGAGUGCACAGGACACCAUUGUGGCUCUGCUGCUCUGCAGCCCACUGGAGCUUUUCCUGACUCUUUGUAGCUCUUCAGUUGGAAUGGAACAAAUGAAAAGCUUUGUCUGGAAUCUGGGACAGACGCAGCAGGCAGUUUGUUACAUGUGGGUUUUCCUGGGAUUCUCAUGCUGAAUACAGGACCAAGGCUGAAGGCUUUGCCUUGGAUGCGGCUGCAGAGCUGCAAACUUCUGCAGGGAGCGAGCAACCCUGAGGAGACUGAAGAAGGAGGAAUCCGAGGAGAAGUGAGGUGGUGCUUUUUAAACAAAUCUAUUUUUUGACAAGAGAAUUGAAAUAUGAAACCAAUUAAAAUGCCAAGGAAUUUUGAAAACAGUCCUGACAGAGGAAACAUGCCUUUAAGCUCAACUGAUGUAAUCAGAUAACAAAAUCUUGAUAGCUGACACCAGCUAGGAGCAGUUUAUAAAUAAGGGGUGUAUUCCUUCUUAUCCAUUGCUUCAAGCAGUCACUCAAUUUAAAUUUAACUUCCAGUUCAGUGAGUAAGGAGUUUAAGGUCUCUGGCUGGUGAUGGGAGGACAGCCACUGCAAUGUGAGCAUGCAUGCUUCAGCACACCAGGAUGCUUUGUGAUUCGUAAACUGAGGAGGGAGGUCAGACUAAAGGGCAGCAUCAGGAAAUAGUAGAGCUUACUGAUUCUGCUUGGAGGCAGUGAUCCAAGGAGGAUCCCCUCUGAGACUGGUGGUCUCCAGCAGCCCUAUUACCACUGUGGAGACAGAGGUGCAGGGUAAUGUGGCUUCCAAGCCAACCACUCAGUGGCUUGAUGGCUCCUGAGGACACAGCGCUUGGAGCCCAUCACCCCACAGAUGGGGCACAUGCAGUUCUUGCCCUCCUCACCCUCAAAAAAUGAAGAGCUGCCACCUACUUUAGUUACCAAGCUGGAAACUGUUAAACCAGGCCAAGAUGGUCCGUGAAGAAGUGGAAAAAUAGUUGAAGUUGAAAAGUCAUUCGCUCAAUAACCAGCGGAGCUGGAACGCCUCGUUCUCUGCCACCUCAACAGCUGGCAGCUGCAGGAAGAUUUUUCUCCCGAAGGUCAAUAAACUCACCCGUUUUUUAUUUUAGUUGUAUAUAAUAUUGGAAAAGCUAAAUCAUGCCUUACCUUCAAAACUCGUAUUUAAGGCUUUCUGGCAGGCGCUCAGAGCUGCCUCACACACCAGGGGAAGGGACCCAGUUUUGUCAUACCUACACAGUUGCAGCGCUUCUGUUUAAAGUCACGUUCUUCAUUUCCAGGUGCUACCAGGAAAAUUAGAAUGAGGUUUGUUUUCUUGUUUCCCCCACUGCCGAUGGUUUCUGCUGAGCUGUUGAACAACACCGGUUGAGUGUUACCUUGACACUUUAAUUUGGAGGCAAUUUAAUACGUUCUGACUGAAGAUUUAAAAGUAGAGUUCCUAGAGCAGAGCAGCAACAAGGCGCAGAUUUCAUCCUUUUUGACCCAUUGUCAGUGGGUUGGGGUUUUUUUUUCUUGAUCUGUCAUUUCAGAAACUCUGUGUUGUUUCACUCCAGGUACUUUAACAGCUCAUUUUAGCCCUGCUGACAUUGCUGUGUCACGGUUCAUGUCUUUUCUGACAUGAAGCUAUCAAGUUCUUCCAUUUACUCUUCCAUUUUACCUCUGCUUACAAAUGAGGUUUAGAAAAGCUAAAACCUCUCUGCAGCUAAGGUGUCUUUUAUUGAAUAGUGUUACUCCUAGGAUUUUAAAAUGUCUGAUGCAUGUGCUCAGUCAAAAGGCUGAAUAUCUUUGCAAAGUACUCUGGAAAAAGACAACUGAAGAUAAAUUCCACGAAGUAAAAAUCAUCACAAACACAUCCAUUUGGAUUUCAUUUAGAUUCCUGUUCAUUUAGAUUUCCUUAUAUAUCCUGGGUAUAUUUUGGAAUAUCCCCAUCUUUCUGUGCUCCCCAUUGGCCCUAUGGCUCUGCCAGCUCCUCUUGGAGCCUUGGGUGGGACAUUUGCUGCAUGGCAGUCACCCCUAUGGAGGAGGAACAAACCAUACCAAAUGGCAGUAAAGGCCACUGCGCAAUGACAUCAUUUCUUUAUCUUUUAUAUAUGUGUUCCGAUAAGGCAAGAUCUGAAGGAGGUGGAUCUUUCAUUUACAACUUUCACAGACUCUUGUUUCAUAUUUGGAAAUGAAAGACAACAUCUACUUCUUUUUUUAUCUCUGAAUUUUAAGCCUGUUUCCACACCAGAAAGUGUGGGAGAAGAAUAGCAGAUAAAAAUGUUUGAAAUACAAGCUAUUCUUUGAAGUUCUUGGGAUAUUUUAAAGCUUUUCCCUACAGCUAUUUAUUCUGUGCACUUAACAUCUGUUUUAUGCUUUGAUAUACUUCACAAUUAUUUUUCAUCCUUAAUUUGAUUUUCUUUUAAUAACAUUGUUCCCCAAAACAGUAGAUGACAAAGACGUCUGGCCCGCAUCAGAUAAUCCCCAUCUCACCACGAUGAGUUGUUUUAAUUAUGCGCACGUACAUAUUGUGCUGUAGCUCUAAUUAAAGGCUUUAUGAUUUUAGGAGGCAAUCCUAUGGAAAAAAAAAAUAAAUUACUUUUGAAAGGAUUUGCUGUGUUACUUCAGAUAGUCAAUGCUUGUGUACAGCAUAUGGGUUUUCCUUGACAAGAUUGGAAUUGCUGAAGAAGUCGGAGCCCUUCCUUACUCACUAUUGUAAAAGGAGGGAUGCUUUCUCAUUAAAGGAAAAAUAAUUUGGAAUACUACAUGUAUAGUAGUUUGUUGUUUCUUUUUUCCUAGGUAAUGAAUAUUCUGGAUUCUGUCAGUAUAGGAUUGCCUUGUUUGUAUACAACUAGCUUUUAUUUCACGCCAGGAAGCUUUCCCUGAGAAUUAGAUAUUAUUUAGAUAUACAAGGACUACUCUAACCAGGCAGCUCUGCCUCUGACAAAGGAAUGGGAAUGUAAUGGCGUUUCUCAGUGUUCUGUAUUAUAAUUUACCUAUAUGGUACCUUGCUGUGGGUUAUAUAUUUCUUUUAUUCCCUGGCAAUUCUGAAUUGCCUGGGGAAACAAACAGCUUUGUUUAAAACAAAACAGAACAAAAAAGAAAAAAAAAGAUUAAAAAAAACCCUUCUAAUUCCAUCUUAGAAUCUGCAAAAUAUCGGUCUGACCCCACAUAAAAUAUUUCAUUCUAGUUGCUAAGUAAUCUGCUAUUUUUUAACUUAGAACAGCAUUCAGAUUGAAAUAUUGGAUUAAAAAUAUUUUGACCAAAAUGUGUUAUUGAAACAGUUCUAACAAAAAUAAAAUUAAAAAAAAAAAUAAAUUAAGGCAAUUUGCUGAAAUGAUGGAUAGUCACGAGGCUCUGAGAUCAGCCUGAUUCUGUGCUUUGUGAAGGGACAAGAUCUGUAACACACCGUUCUCCUCCAACACCUGCCCCAGGUGAGUGCCACCGAUGUGUUCCUUUAUCCCAGCUCCUGUCAUUAUUUGUGUUACCGUUGCUCUGUUUAUGACAUGGUAGGCUUACUGGUUCUCUCUGUGUGCUGCACUCAGCCCUGAUUUUCUCACUUUCUUGCUGGCCCUUCACCUCCCCCCAGUUCAGCUCUCUCUGACAAUGAGAACCACCAUUGUUUGUAAGCUGUCCAAAUUUAAAACAAUCAAUUUUCAUUCACCACAGAUUUUAAUACCACAAACCAGCAAGAAUUGCUGGGACCUGAAUUCUGAUCUUCUGAAUGUGCUGAUUUGAAGGAACCAUCCUUAACAUGGCUUCAGCUUCUGCUGUUGCGGGUAGGUGGGGUGAAAGGAGCACACUGGAUAGGGCUGGAGGCUCUGCUUUGUUGAGCAGCAUCCUGGGAAAUCCAGUGCAAAACCAGGUAAGAACUUGUUGUGCUGCAAUGUCAGCUACUUAUUCCAUAUUUGUGACCACCUAAUGACCUUUACAAGGAAUUAAUGUUCUUAUUUUUCAGUGCUUUGGUAUUUUAAUACUUUUUAAGAACCAUUUCUAUUAUUUAGCGCCCACCUCCUUGUGCUUUAAUAUAAGAAUCUCAUUCAAUUUCAUUUUAUGUCAGUGGUAUAAAUCUUUGAUCUUUAUUUUAGUUGUAAUGUAGCCAUUAAGGAAAAUGCUAAAGAUGUCUCUGAUUUCUCUCUUGCUAAAAGCAGGACCAGGAGUUUCACAGAGAUCAGCACCAGGUAACGAUCCUCUCAAACAAUUUGCCCAUUUGAGGAAUAAAAGUUAACAGAUAUGCCACAACAGAUGUUUAUAAUUUGGUGCUAUAGAUUGUAUUUUGAUGCACUGAGCAGCAUCGCUUCAGCACCGCCAGGAAGCAUCCCUUGUUGCUUCUAGCAAGAGCUGCCAUUGCGAUGCAUUCUGUUGACUACAUUUUGAAACACAGAUUGUUUCUAAUUUUGCUUCUUUGGUAUACUCUGAGUACUGGAAUAUCUCUGUUACUUUCUCUCUCUCUCUGUGUUUUUUGUUGUUUUUUCUUUUUUGGGAGUUUUUUUCCUGACUAAGUGCAUAUUGAAAGACCAGGAGCUGCCCCUCACCCUCACUGCCAGGAGGUGUGGGGGGCUCAGCCCAUGGAAGGGCCGGCGUGCUUCAGGCUGAGCCAAAGCCUCCACGAAGGCAUUCUGUUUGGCAGGAAAGCUUAGUGUUUAGGUUAUUCUCAAGCAGCCUUGAGAUAUAAAAAUGUUUCUGUGGGAGUUCUUGGCUGUGCAUGAAGGCUGAGAGAGCCUGUGGGGUGGAGGUACUGCUGAGCUGCCUCCUGCUUUGCAGAUGGAUGGGAGAGAAGGGGCCGGCUUCAGUUUGGGUCUGACCAUUUGUUGUGCACUCACACAAGGGCAGGGAUGGGAUUUUCUUCUGGAAUUGAUCUGUUUUGAGCCAAGAUGUUCCUGGAGCUCCCAUUAUGUGUGAGGUGAAAAUAAAGUCUUAAAUGUAAAGGGAUACUCAUUGCAGUGGGUGUCAACCAACUGCAGGUUCUCCCUCCUGCUCUGCAGAUGCUCCUGCAUG